CAAAGGUAAUGAGCCAAAAAGGGAAAAAUUUAGAUAGCCCUAAGUUCUUCAGCCAGCAGUAUGCGUGUUGGUCUCUGUGUCUCUUGUAUUAAUUCUCUCCUUCCUACAUGGGUGUGAUAAUGUCAUUUCCUUUUUCAAGAAGUUCCCCUUCCUUCCCAUUGCUGAAUCAUUGCUGAGUGAUUCAGGCUCCCUGCAUGGCAAUGACGACUUAUCAGGAUCUGGUCCCCCUCACCUUGCCAGACUCCCCACCCCGACCCCAUCCAUAGCCCUCCAGGCCCCACAUACACAGCAGCCACGCUCUUACUGUCACAUCCUCUCCCCCACUCCACAUCUUUGCUCAUUUAGCUCUUCCGCUAUGAAAUACACUGUUACUUCUUUCUACUCUCUUCCCUCCACCUGGGGAUGCCCUCCUCCUUCCUCAAGACUCUGUUCAGACUCAACCAUUCAUGAGUCCUUCUCUGAUCCCUGAGUCAGAAUUACUGAGUUGCCCCUUGUUGUUCUUAAUUUUGUAUUAUAAUUAGCUGUCUACUGGUCUGUUUUGUCUUAAAACCAUAAGUUCCUUCAGGUCAGGAAGUAUGCCUCAUUAAUCUCUGAAUCUCCCACAAUGCUUAGCACUGUGCCGGCACAGAUGUUUACAGAAUGCAGAACAUUUCCAGCUCCUCUUGCCUCACACAUAUGUAGUUGUUCAUUCUAAUUUUGAGAGGAAAGGAAGAAGUAUUGCUGAUGUUAAUGCUGCUUCUCAUUCAUCCCUUUUCUCCCUUAGAAACUCCUCCGUGGUGGCCUGGGUGUUUACCCCCAGAAGGGGGGAGGCAUAAAAUUGUUGGAUGUAAGCCAUGGAGUAUUGUACCAUCCAGUGGUUAGAAGCAAAGGAAUAGAUGUGCCCAUAGCACUGUGGGUAAAAGGGAAUUAAUGAAUGGUAGCUACAACAACAGGGUGGAAAGAGAAAAGAAGCAACUCCUUGGUACACCCUUUCUGUGCCUCUCAGAACAACUUACUCAGUGUUUUAUUAGCUUGUUAUAUUUUUUUUGUAGGCUACCCGGAAACCUGGAAGACCUUCAUCCCCUCUUCUCUAAAGAACUCUUGGGGUGCCUCGGUGGCUCAGUCAGUUAAGCAUCCAACUUGAUUUCAGCUCAGGAAAGAGUUCCUAUAAAACCACCAUUUCUUGCACCCCAAUCAGGACGAGCCAUCUUCCGUUGUGCAAAGCACAUGCAAGAUGUCAACUCUUCCCUCCAAACAUCCAACUCAGGGAGGUAGUAACUCCAAAGUUCACACUUACAUAUCCCAGAGUAGCAUAUUGGUUUUGUCCUUCUCUCUUUGGGGUCUUUUUUAUAAUAUAGCUGUCAACAUGAAAAGAAGAAAGUCGGCACUGUGCCAGUGAGCUCAAAGAGCUCCCUGAUAGAGACAAUGGUUUCUGAGCACAUGCUGCAACACUAUGAAAAGGGGUGAAAAAUAUCAAGUCACAGAUGUUUGUCUGCUAUAUGGAAAGAAAGCAGAGAUGGGAGGACCCAUCAAGGUUUGAAUCUUAAUUUGCUAUUUCUUUAACAUUCAUGUCCCUACUUGACCCUACAUGUGCCUUAUUCUCUGACCUCACCACCUCCUUGCUCUUUCGAUGCUCUGCAUGCCACAAGCUUAUCAGCCUUACUGCCUUUGUACUUAUUAUUUCCUCUGCCUCUCCCCAAAAUCUUUGCAUGGAAGAUUCCUUCUUGUCAUUUAGUUUUAACCUCAAUGUCACCGCUUCGGAGAUACCUUCUCUGACCUUACAUUGCAAGUGAGAGCCACCCUCCACUGAAACUUCUCCCACAAACAGGCGUGAUCACAUUGUCUGGUUGUGUUUUGUUUAAACCCUCUAACCCUUGUACCAUUUAAUAAAUUCCUGCCUAACAUUGA